rnacentral:tRNA from 1 species
GGUAGGACCAUGGCUUUGUGGUAGAGCAUCUCCUUUGCAUGCAGAAAGUCACAGGUUUAAUCCCUGGCACUUCCUGUUA